rnacentral:tRNA from 1 species
GGGGGUGUGGCUCAGCGGUAGAGCACUCGCCUGGCAUGUGAGACCCCUAGUUCCAUCCUCA